rnacentral:lncRNA from 1 species
ACCAUUUGCUUUCAUUAAUGUAUUUUUUUUCAAUAAAUAAUGACAGAAUUGAAAUUCAAUUCAAUUCAAUAAUAAAUAACAAUAAUAUAAUUAAAUUAAUUAGUACUAACAAAAAAUUAAUACUCAUGCAAACAACUACUUUUACAUGAUUCUUUAUUCACUAACUCUUAAUAAAAUAUAAAACAAAAUUAAAGAUCAUUCAUUCUUCCAUGUUUAUGGAACCAUCACCAAUCAAGUGAUCAAUCUUUCCUUCAGGGUACUCAAAGAAGUCUGCUACAUCCAAACUUGUGAUGUCAAUAUUAUUUUCAGAGAGAAAAUUAGUCUCGGGAUUUCUUUCUUUCUUCUUUAGUGAUGCUUGAUAAAGAUCAACCAAGUGCUUGAGAGCACGACAGUCACGUGAAUAAUGUCAUUUUCCACCACAUCGGAAACAAGUAAUUGCUUCACUUUUUUCAUCUUUUUUCUUUUUGUUCGAUGAAUGAUUAACAUCCAGAACAGGGUUUCUUUCUUGGUUAUCACGACCACGACCAGGGCCGUGACCUUUUUCACGCCUAGCAUGGUGGGCAUGUACAUCAUUCACCUCAGGGAAUGGUUUAGAUCCAGUAGAUCGAUUCUCGUAAUUUUUCAUUAAUAAAUCAUUAUUUUGUUCAGCUACGAGAAGAUGAGAACUCAGUUCAGUAUAUUUCUUGAAACCUUUUUCUCAAUAUUGUUGCUGUAAGAGCACAUUCGAGGCAUGAAAAGUGGAGAGUGUUUUUUUCAUCAUAUCAUCAUCAUUGACUGUCUCUCCACAUAGUUUCAAUUAAGAAGAAAUUCUGAACAUGGCAGAAUUGUAUGCAUGAACAGACUUAUAGUCUUGAAAUCUUACAUGCAUCCACUCAUAUCGUACUUUCGGGAGGAUGGCCAUCUUUAAGUAGUCAAAUCUUUCUUUUAGGCUAUUCCACAAUACGAGUGGAUCCUUAGUAGUAAGGUACUCAGUUUUUCAAACUUCGUCAAGAUGAUGACGCAAGAAAAUCAUAACCUUAGCACAAUUUUGACUAGAUAUUGUAUUCUCUUUUUUAUGGCAUCUCCAAGACCCAUAGCAUUUAGGUGGAUUUCAGCAUCCAGCACCUAUGAAAUAUAGUUCUUGCCCGAACUUUGAAGGGCAACAAACUUACACUUCGUAAGAUUGUUAGACAUAUGAAAAAUGGAAGAAAAAGAAUAAUACCUUAGCCUUACCCUUCAAAUUUGAGACGGUAGAGUCUCGUGCUGAUAAUGUGUUAUAAAACAAGAAAGAAUAGAGAAAAAGAAGAAUAUAGAAUAGAG